UGUCGUUUUACAUGAUGUGUUUUAAGAUUAUAAUUUUCUGCAGGCUCUGGGAAAGAAAUGCACCGUUAUGCAUUAUUUCCUUUGAGGUGUAAAAAUAUCCAGUUACUGCCUCAGUCCAGACCUGUAUCGUGAUCUGCUAUCAGCAAUACCUCGAACCGAUGAUUCAGCGUACACAAGGUGCAUCAUACUCCCGUGUGCCUGAUCGUUAUAAUCCCUGAGGAAACUCCAUCUUACAUUUGCACCAAAAUAUGGCACAGGUGUGUUUCAUAGCUGAUGUUUGACAGUUUCAUUAAUCCUUAGUAAAUGUUUCACCAUCGUCCAGACUACAGGUUUCUUAUACGUGCAACUAAGGAUUCAUAAACAGCUGAUGAUUAAAAAUCAGAAGAGGAUAAGAAGCCCCCCCCCCCAGCUCUCUUUCUGACUCUCUCUCUAUGUAUAUUUGUAUAUAUACAAAUUGUUUUGAGCAAGAGACAAGUGACUGUAUUGUACUGAAUUUUGCACAGCUAGUAAUCGAUCUAAUGCACAAAUAAUUGUUUUUCUUAGUGACCGAUAAACAAUCCAUCCAUCUUCCAACCACUUAUCCAGUACAGAUAUGGCGUCUGAUAAUGUCUAUUCAAAAUAUUUCUUAGAAUAAGCUACUUAAUGUAUUUUGAGUACAACAAGCUUUGCAGUAGACAUUUCAGAACAUAUCAGUAUUUAAAAUUUGUAUAACUUCAAAUAUGCAUUUACUAUGCAACUUUACAACUGCAGGGUAAGAGCUGCUUGCGUGGAGAAAUCACUCAAUAAAGCAGAAAAUGAGAAGUA